rnacentral:rRNA from 1 species
AACCUACCUUUCAGUUCGGGAUAACAGUUGGAAACGACUGCUAAUACCGUAUACGCCCUCCGGGGGAAAGGUCAGCCGCUGAAAGAGGGGCCCGCGUCUGAUUAGCUUGUUGGUAGGGUAAAAGCCUACCAAGGCUACGAUCAGUAGCUGGUCUGAGAGGAUGAUCAGCCACACUGGGACUGAGACACGGCCCAGACUCCUACGGGAGGCAGCAGUCGGGAAUAUUGGACAAUGGAGGAAACUCUGAUCCAGCAAUGCCGCGUGUGUGAUGAAGGCCCUAGGGUUGUAAAGCACUUUCAACGGUGAAGAUGAUGACGGUAGCCGUAGAAGAAGCCCCGGCUAACUUCGUGCCAGCAGCCGCGGUAAUACGAAGGGGGCGAGCGU